AGAUAGCACGCUGUGGAGCUGGAGGAACACAACAGGUCAGGCAGCCUCAGAGGAGCCAGAAAUUUGAUGUUUUGGAUCGGGACCCUUCUUCAGAAACCGCUUUGUUGUUUUUUUUCCCCUUAAUGUAUGUUCUCUGCACUCCACAUAAAGAGAACUGAGAUUUUUUAACAAGCAUGUGGCAAGCUAAGGGACCAUUGACAUCUGCACAAUCUCUGCCCGAAAGAGAGCAACCCCAAAAUACAUGAUUUCCUGCCCCACCUCCGAGGAAGAAGCUACAGAUCCUUCAGUGGCCAAGCUGCACUGCCAACCGAUUCAGAUCUUGACACCCUAAGGGUGUGCCAGCUGGAUUGGAAUUGAGAGCAGAUUCUAGUGAACAGAUCACUGCCACAACUCCAAACUGGCUGAGGAAGAAAUACCCCAGGCCACUGGCACUCAGAGGACAACUGGAGAUCAGGCACCUUCUCAGCCCAGGCAGGAGAGGACCCAUUGAGGAAAGAUGCUGCCAGACCUUUUCUGAAGAAGGGUCUUGACCUGAAAUGUCAACUUUCCUGCUCCUCUGAUGAUGCUUGGCCUGCUAUGUUCAUCCAGCUUCACACCGUGCUGCCAGACCUGUUGAGCUAUUCCAGCAAAUUUUGUUUUUGUUUAAUACCUCUCGGUAGUAUAACAAAUGCUAAACACAAUUUUAUUAUCCUUUACCUUAGUUGCUAAAAUUUGUGCAUGAUGGUGAUGAGCAAGAACUGGGUUUUUGUUACACCCAAAGGUCACCGUUACCAAACAAUUAUAGUAUAUUAUAUUUAUGAGACAAAGAUAAGAAACAACAGUCUCCUGGUGUUGAUACCAAUCAUAGGUGUUGGUUUGAAUGACACUUAACAACAUAAAAAAAGACCUCCAGUUGGACUCCUUUUAAGUAAGGCUUCCCAGUCAGACUUUUACAUUCAAAUCCCUUUGAAGAUUAACUCUUUCUGAUCGAUGUCACCUUAGGCAAAUAUAGCUAAAACUACAGUCAGCAGUUUGUUGGCUAUCUAUCAAAAGCUUUUUAAACACUUGGAUUACAAGUAAGUGGUUUGGAGUUGUUUCUAGUAGUAAAUAUUUAUUUCAAUAUUAGUAUUUAAUGUCCCUCUUCCUUCAUAUAAUGAUUGUUACUGAAAGGCACACAGUUCAUUUAAGUUGAAUUAUCCAUAGAGAGAUAUUUGUAACUUGACGUAUAGUUUGAUCUUCUUAAACUGAUUGGGGAUCUCCUCCAGCUUUUGAGUUCAUAUUUAUCAAAUAGGUGAAAACAAUCUUGCUUUUAUUAGGUAAAAAACACAUAAUUGUCAAUGUUACAAUGAAGGGGAUUCUUCAUUUAGUUUGUAUAUUAAGGAAUGAGUUUUGAGAAAGAGUGUACAGCAUGUCAUGCUGAGGGUUUAGCUUUCAGGGCACCAUUUUUCUGAAAUUUCUCUCUUAACUGAAUUUGAGUUUGUCAAGUUUAUGUAUUAUUUAAAGGGUCCUGUCAGCAGAUUGUGGAGUUUGAACAUUGUUUGGACAUUGAACUUAACCAGAGGUAUUUCCUCUCAGCCAGGAGUCAGCCUGCUUUAUCAUUUGAGUAAAUAAAAACCACUAAGGCAACAGAAAAGCUCUUAAAGUGAUUAUUUUAACAAAUCCAUCUGGAUUAAUGGAGAAAUUAAACUGGAACGAAUCCAGUGGAAAGCACUUUGCUUCCCCUAUAAAACAUUCAGUUCUUGUAAGUGGUGAAUUUGAUUUACAAAUCCACCAGCUGGUGCUGAUUUAAUUCCAAUUGCUGCUGCAUUGUCCCUCCAUCACAUCUUUGUUGGCAAUAUUGUAAACCUUUCCAGCAUGAUCAUUGCCACUCACGCAAUAGAAAUAUGCUUCAAAUUGUUACAUUUCUGUUUAUCCUCUUUCCUUUUCCUGUUUAUUUUCCCCAAUGUCCCACAUUAAACCACUUGGCAGAAGACACCUAGACCUCUGUUAAUGCAAGUCCAUCACAAACUCCAAGUUAUUUCAGACCAAGUUCACCACUCCCAGGUUUAAAAUAUAUUAAAUUCUUAGAGAGUUUAAUGGCAUUGUUGGCAAGAGACUGUUGGCCUGACUGAAUGAACCAGAACAAGGAGACAUGUUUCAGCAUAAGGAGUUGAAUAUUUAAGACCAAGAUGAGAAGAAAUUUCAAAGGCUUGUGAAUCUGAUUAAUGAAACAUGAACUGAUGUGCUUUUGUUAUAGUUAUGGUAAUAAUGAUCAGAAAAUGCUGAUUGAGAUGGGAACACAUUCUCUACAUAUCUAUUGAUGUGUCUAUUUGCUAGACACAUCAACAGGGAUACUGUUAACUCUUCUUAGUUGGACAUUUGUAAUUUAACCCUAAUGGGGUUCAACUGGUGAAGUUAAACUGCACAAAAGAUUAUCUCUAUUUCCCUACAAAAUUCAAGAGAAGAUAGCCACUUGCUUUUUUUACAGCAGCCUGACUAUUCAGAAGAGGUAGGUUACAACAAGAUGAAAUGCAUUAGGACCCGGCCCAAAAGCAGCAAACAUAUGAAAUCAAAGAACUGAACUUGUAGAAACAAACUAAGGAACUGCAGAUGCUGGAAAAAUGAAACAAAAACAGAAAUUACUGGAAAAUCUCAGCAGGGCUGGCAGCUUUUUUUGGAGUGAAAUCAGAGUUAAUGUUUUUGGGUGCAGUCACACUUCUUCAGAACUGAUGUCAGUUUAAUAAAGGUAUUAGGUUAAAUCGA